UCAGACUGGACGGCCACUGGAGAAAGAAUAGCUUUGAGAUCCGCGAUCCGGAUCUGCUUAGGGACCAUUUCUGGAUCUGAUCCCAACCGCUCCGUACCACAGACGAUCAGAUCUACACUUGCAGUUGAUGAAGUGAAAAAAGAGGAGAAGAAGAAGAUGAAAGAGGGGGAAGA